UUCGGGGAGGUAGUGACGAAAAAUAACAAUACAGGACUCAUAUCCGAGGCCCUGUAAUUGGAAUGAGUACACUUUAAAUCCUUUAACAAGGACCUAUUGGAGGGCAAGUCUGGUGCCAGCAGCCGCGGUAAUUCCAGCUCCAAUAGCGUAUAUUAAAGUUGUUGCGGUUAAAACGUUCGUAGUUGAAUUUGUGCUUUAUGCAGGUAGUACAGCUAUAAUCGUAGUUUGUACAUUACCUUAUGCAUGUAAGCGUAUUAUCGGUGGAGUUUUUAUAUAUAAUAAUAAUCUAAUUUAUUAUUAUGUAUACGCUCCUAUUUGAAACCUGCAUCAGUGCUCUUUAUCGAGUGUUGUUGUAGGCCGAUACAAUUACUUUGAACAAAUUAGAGUGCUUAAAGCAGGCUUAUAAUGCCUGAAUAUUUUGUGCAUGGAAUAAUGAAAUAAGACCUCUGUUCUACUUUCAUUGGUUUUUAGAUCCAAGAGGUAAUGAUUAAUAGAAGCAGUUUGGGGGCAUUAGUAUUACGACGCGAGAGGUGAAAUUCUUGGACCGUCGUAAGACUAACUUAAGCGAAAGCAUUUGCCAAAGAUGUUUUCAUUAAUCAAGAACGAAAGUUAGAG
rnacentral:rRNA from 1 species